GACGAACGCUGGCGGCGUGCUUAACACAUGCAAGUCGAACGGAAAGGCCUCUUUCGGGGGGUACUCGAGUGGCGAACGGGUGAGUAACACGUGAGUAACCUGCCCUUGACUUUGGGAUAACUUCAGGAAACUGGGGCUAAUACCGGAUAGGAGCUCCUGCUGCAUGGUGGGGGUUGGAAAGUUUCGGCGGUUGGGGAUGGACUCGCGGCUUAUCAGCUUGUUGGUGGGGUAGUGGCUUACCAAGGCUUUGACGGGUAUCCGGCCUGAGAGGGUGACCGGCCACAUUGGGACUGAGAUACGGCCCAGACUCCUACGGGAGGCAGCAGUGGGGAAUAUUGCACAAUGGGUGGAAGCCUGAUGCAGCAACGCCGUGUGCGGGAUGACGGCCUUCGGGUUGUAAACCGCUUUCGCUCAUGACGAAGCUUUGUGUGACGGUAGUGGGUAAAGAAGCACCGGCUAACUACGUG
rnacentral:rRNA from 1 species